rnacentral:sRNA from 3 species
UGCAUCUGAAGCCUGACGAGGAUGAGAACCUCCGGGGGCAAGAGGUUCGACUCGAGCGAAGCGAGAGAACGUUGCGUCAGCAACGGCCCGCAUGGCGAGCCACGCAGUGGCGAGUCAUCCUCUAUCACCGGCAG